GGCGGCGACUGCAGCCGCCCUGCAUGUCAGAGCGAAAACCUCGCGCAGACUGUAAAUCUGCCGGCUUCGCCUUCCCAGGUUCGAAUCCUGGCGCCGCCA
rnacentral:tRNA from 1 species